AUUGAACGCUGGCGGCAUGCUUUACACAUGCAAGUCGAACGGCAGCGCGGGGGCAACCCUGGCGGCGAGUGGCGAACGGGUGAGUAAUGCAUCGGAACGUAUCCUGUAAUGGGGGAUAACGUAGCGAAAGUUACGCUAAUACCGCAUACGCUCGAGAGAGGAAAGUGGGGGAUCGCAAGACCUCACGUUAUAGGAGCGGCCGAUGUCCGAUUAGCUAGUUGGUGGGGUAAAGGCCUACCAAGGCGACGAUCGGUAGCUGGUCUGAGAGGAUGAUCAGCCACACUGGGACUGAGACACGGCCCAGACUCCUACGGGAGGCAGCAGUGGGGAAUUUUGGGACAAUGGGCGAAAGCCUGAUCCAGCCAUGCCGCGUGCGGGAAGAAGGCCU
rnacentral:rRNA from 1 species